rnacentral:rRNA from 1 species
CGGCAACAGCUCAAAUUUGAAAUCUGGCCCUUUCAGGGUCCGAGUUGUAAUUUGCAGAGGGUGCUUUGGUGUUGGCGGCGGUCUAAGUUCCUUGGAACAGGACAUCGCAGAGGGUGAGAAUCCCGUAUGUGGUCGCCCGCCUUCGCCGUGUAAAGCCCCUUCGAC